rnacentral:lncRNA from 10 species
GGGUAGCAGGUGUGCCUCCCAACCAACCCUUUAUUGCCUGGGCAUGUGACAGCAUUUUGCGGCACCUCAGUAAUGAGCCAGAGAAGAAGGAAAGGCAGAUGAAUUUGCCAGCAUUAUUGCAGGUAUCUUGAAGGAGAGUUGAGCCCAGCUUUUCAAUUCAUACAGAUCCUUUCUCUGAAGAACCCCUUCCUGAUAUUGUCACUUUAACACAUCUCUGUGGUUUUAUUUUGAAAUUUUUAAAGGUACAGUCAUGUGCCGCAUAAUGACAUUCAGUCAAUGACAGACUGCAUAUAUGAGGUGGUCCUGUAAGGUGAUAAUGGAGCUGAAAAAUUCCUACUACUGAACGACAUCAUAGCCAUUGUAACAUCAUAGCACAACCAAUCACCUUUUCUAUAUUUAGGGCUUCCCUGACAUAGACGACUUGCUUCUUUCAAAUUUGGUCAUCGCCCUCUUGCCUUCCUGUGUGAGUCAGCGUGGCUGCCCUUGUGCACGCCAGGCUCCUGUCUGUGCUCCGGGGCCUGUUUCCUGGCCUCCCCAGAUGAGGAAACUGAGGCACAAAAAGGUGAAGUCCUGAGCUCACAGUCAUGCAACCAGCAGGUGGUGAAACACACCUCCAAGCUGCCUGCCUCCUAAGCAUCAAGCUUUGUGGCCCAGGAUCUACUUCAUGCUCCAAAUAUUCAUGGACCUUCCCAGGACCUCAACAAAACAAAACCAUGAAGAAAAACCUUGACAUGAACCCCAAAAAAACCCAGUCAGCAAUAUUUUAAGUUAAAUUUUGAAACAAAUCCAAACGGGUUCCUCCCCAUAAAUCUACCAGUAAAUUGUGCAGAAUCAGAACUGAAGCCAUGCCCUUUCUUAAAGUAUUGAAUUAGAAUAAAUGAGAACAUCUAAAUAUUUUCCAAAUUCAUAUUCCAGUUAUAAUAUUCAAGUUUCUUAGUUUCUCUCUGUUCACAUUCAACAUGAAAUAGUCCCAUUAGUCAGUAGCAAGAGCUGCAACAUUUCUACAGGUACUAAAGGAUGUGAUCAGAGCAGGGAAGAUGGCCAACAAGAUGAUGCCACUCUAGCGGGUGCCCAUCCAAAUCAUAACCCAUGAAUACUGCGGCUUUAUUAUCUUGGACAACAGAAAGCUGAUCUUGUAAUUGGAUGAUCACCCCUGCUUGCAUGCUUUCGAGUAGUUACGUAUGACAAAAGGAGCUACUGGUUUUGUGAUGAUGGGUUUCUGGGUAAACCCUAGAUGCAGAAGCAGCUUUUAAGCAUAGCAGAGCAAGAGUCAAAUGGUUCUGAAAAAAGUUUUAACUCUGAGAUGACUUCUCCCCGCUUCUUUCACUCUACCCUCUCAAUCCUAGAGCAAGUGAGCAGAGUAGGUAAAGCUGUUUCCUCCAGAAAGAUGAUCCAUAUUUUAAACAGCUCUGUGAAUGGGGCACUAAGACUCAGAAGAUCUGGUUUUCAGUUCGCAUUCUGCCUUUAACUGGUCUUGAAAGUUUGGGCAACUCAAUUAUCUCAUGGAGUCAGUAUUUGCAUCUGUACAGUGGGGAUAUGAAUACCUGUCUUACCUACACGGAGCUGUAAGAGCAACAGAAUGUGAGCUGGCAUGAUGUUAUUAUAUGUAUCACCUUGGUUAUUUUAAAACAUGCUUGAUGUAUUAGCCUCUCUGUUUCCUCUUGAGUUUUCCUGCAGAGAUGUCUUUUAAACCAAGCAUCACUCUCCCAAUCAGAGACAGGGCUAACUAGAUAGACAAAUGAGAAAGAGAAGUCGGGGAUGGGAUGGGAGCACAGCCAAUGCAGAAACAGUCAUGUGUAUUCUUCUAGACAGGUGAGCAGAGACAUUUUCAGGAUUUCAGGGGGGCAGGAUGGAGACAUGGGGGAAGCUUCUGGGUCAGUUCUUGAUGGUGUGGCUUCAGUAUGUAGAUGCACACAUUCUCCUCUAAGUCGAAAAGAAUAUACUGGGGGUUUCCAUUCUUUUGGAUUUUCCAGGCUUCUAACGACCUCCACCAUUCCCAGUCCAGAGGAGGUCAUGGGAUGAUAGAAAGUGGGAGCAACCAGGGCAUGUGCCUUUUCAUUUCGCAGUGGAGGGGCUGAGGCUUGGAAAGAGGGCCUGGCUUAGGGAAUACAGACUUCAGCUCAGAAAAUCUAACAGGAAUUCUCUUCUGUGACUGCUAGACAGGCUUGAAACUACUUAGCAAUAUUCUGAUUUUUUUUCUCUGCAAUAUCAAUAAGGGUAAGCACCCAGUGCCUUCUGGCAGCACCCCCAGAAGCUGCCACCUAC